AGAUUCCCUCUUCUGGUGUUUUUUGUGGGUGAGCAUAUGGUCAGAUGCUAUUGACAUGAGCAUAGACCCAUCUAGGGCUUCCUGGGAUGACGAUGCUACUCUUUUCCUAAUGCAGUAGCGGAUGUAGACGAUUUCUAUAAUCCAUCACAAAGUGGAAUGGAUCACGGCAUGGCUCAUCUUCCAGCUGAGGACCUGCGCUGCAACUUUCGUUAGCAAAUGCAACUUGUCCAGCAGCGGGGCGUUGCAGUUUGGGCUCCGGACAGAAGAGGGGGCCCUUCGGAUGGCCAGAUGGAAAAGCUCAGCCAGAUGUGGUCCAGCUGCGGCUCCAGAGUGCCUCCUGCCGCAGGGCCCUGUGCUGCCGACGCAGUAUGGAGAGAGCUGGGGGCUCGCUGGGCAGAGGAAUCUCGAGCACGGCGUGCUCAGAAGGAGAUAUGCGCUUAAUAUUUCUGCUCCACUCCGAAGGUGGCUGAGAGAGUACAGAAGCAAUGCCGGAUAUUUGCUCCAGAGCCUCUGUGCUGUUUGAAUCUGCACUUUGGAAGGUUGUGGCUUAUUUGGUCAAGGUUGUAUCUUGUAAACCACCUGAGGAACAUGUUCCAUGCAAGGUUGCCUGCAUGCAAAUGUGUUGUUUGACACAAACUGCUGGAUUCCCUGACGUCUCUACUUCUACCUCGGGUAAAUUUGUAUCGGCUGCACUGAACAAGUAAAAAUGCUUCCACACUGUAAAGCACUCCCAUAACAUUGAUUCAAGAUUGAUCACUUGCAUGAGGUAGUUCAGAGAGUAGUUACAGCUGUGCAAAACCUUUUAUUCAGGGUUAGAAUUUGACCUAGCGUGAUAACCAGGCAAUAAAAUAGGAGUUGGCUGUCAAAUUCAGGAGAAAUAAGGCAUCACCAGGGCUUAAAGAUCUGCUUCACAACGUUUCUAUCAAAUAAGUCACAUCUCCUGAGUGGAUAUUUCCACAAUUUUUGACAAGGAAGAAAGAAAAUA